rnacentral:rRNA from 1 species
AUCUUUCUCCGUUAGGGAGACCUGCGGAAGGAUUCAUUA